CUCCCCAGGCCUCGGCUCCCAGGGUGGAGGGAGGCUGGCCCUGGUCCCCUGCACCUGCUCUGUCGGGGAACGGUGGCAGAGGGGCCUGAGCAUGUGGACACAGGGCCAGGGAGCGAGGGGCGGGCUGGCUGCCUCCCGGGACCAGCAAAUGGCUCUGGAGGGGUGGGACCGCUUGCUCUGGCCCCGCUGUCCCCGCUCAUCCCCGUGAGGCAGUGGCCCUGUGUCCGGCUCUGUGGGCCCCGAGGCUGGGCCUGGAGGGCUUCGUCGCCUCCUGCAGCUGGCUGUCCCCUGGAACCAGCCUCACUCGGGUCGUCACGGGCCCAGGACUAACAGGUAGGAGAGUCCAACACGGAGCAAAGCAGCCAGCCACAGCCCGAGGGCCCUCCUGCCCAGCAGGCCCAGCCUCUGUGGGCCUGGGAGGGCCCUGCUGAGUUGAACAGAGAGGGCAGCGAGGGCGGCAAAGGGACACUGUGCAAGGCCCAGCGGGCGGCUGCGGCCAACGCCGGACGGCACAGGGAGGGAGACCAGAGGUGACCACACUGCCGUCCUCAGAACAGCGGGGAGACCCGAGAUCCUGAGUCAGCCUGGUCACCCAGCCUGGACCCGAUGCCUCAGCACCCCAGCCUCCUGGAGGGCUCUGGCCGGGAGGCCCCGGGCAGCAGUCCUUGAGGCCGUUGCUCUUGGGCCUUCCCAGCCCCUCCUCUCUGGGCUGGGACGGGGGCUCCGUGGGAGGACCCAGCAGGGCCGGCCUGGGGAAGGCCCACGGAGUCUCCCCUCCCUGAGGAGCAGCCCCGAUGCUCUGAGCCCUGGAGGAGGUCACAGGGACGGGCCUGGACAUCAGGAGCAGGUACAGAUGCGGAUGAGCCACCUCCCCCUGGACCUCCAGGGCUGUGGCCGUAGGUGACGGUCAGCAGGGGACGAGCCUGUGUCUCCACAGGAGUGGCACUGGACCAGCUGUGGGCCGUCGGCCAGGGUGAACACGUGGCUCCUGGGGAGCAGCAGGUGCUGUG
rnacentral:lncRNA from 1 species